GAGAGGUGAGAUCUCGGAGCGAUAGCCCUCAUGACCAGUGACUGUACCCCAUCUUCCCGGUUCCUCCGGCGGGUUGUCGGUCACGUGCAGAGGCGCAGGAUGGGAAUGGGCUCGGUUGGGCUGCACGUGAUAUCCAUAGCUUCUCCUCUCCAUCCCCAUGAGCUUUCUACUACUGUGACACUUGAUCUGUGGAAGGGCUUCUGAUACCAGCUGAAAGCAGCUGGAAGCCGAGUAGGAAUUGCACGUUAUUUCCCUGCAGGGCAGUUAAUACAGCCAAUCGAUCCUGAUUUCCAUCAUCCUGGUUGUCACAGUUUCGAACCAAGAACCCAAAGCCAACCACCCUGCAUGGAAACAUGUGCCCCAGCUGUCAACCCUCGUCCACCGUCUUCAGACCACAGACGGAAGACCGUUAUCCUCAACUGCGAGGGAUUGUCCAUGUGCUGAAGUUGUAGUCCGGAGCCCACCAUGAGGAAGGUGUCACGUUCCUUGAUGCUGUCUCAGAAGCUGUGCAGGCAAAAACCAAGGUGCAGAGAUGUCAGGAAUCUGAUUUCCAAAACAACUUUGGGGCCAGGUCUCCGAAGCAUUCAGGAGCAGAAAUCUGGCUCUGAGAGGUGGUCUGCUUUGGGGAAUCUGUGUGCAUGCCAGGGGCUGCAUGUCACCAGUCUAGCCUCAGGAAGAAAUUAAUUUUCAUCAAUACUAUCCAAAUGAUUCACCCUAACUUGUAGAAAUGCUGUGCUGGAGAAGAAAGAGCUCCCAGUCUCCUCCAUGACUCACUGUGUUCUUGGAUGUGGCCCAUCAGAAUGUAUCAGCAAAUCAUGUU
rnacentral:lncRNA from 1 species